GCUCCUGUGGUGGAAUAGGCAGACACAUGAGACUUAAAAUCUUAUGCCUUCGGGCGUACCGGUUCAAGUCCGGUCGGGAGUACCA
rnacentral:tRNA from 1 species